rnacentral:rRNA from 1 species
UACAGAGGUGGCAAGCGUUGUUCGGAAUUACUGGGCGUAAAGGGCGCGUAGGCGGCCUGUUAAGUCGGACGUGAAAUCCCUCGGCUCAACCGGGGAACUGCGUCCGAUACUGGCGGGCUUGAAUUCGGGAGAGGGAUGUGGAGUUCCAGGUGUAGCGGUGAAAUGCGUAGAUAUCUGGAGGAACACCGGUGGCGAAGGCGGCAUCCUGGACCGACAUUGACGCUGAGGCGCGAAAGCCAGGGGAGCAAACGGG